rnacentral:rRNA from 1 species
UCGAGCGGACCGACGGGAGCUUGCUCCCUUAGGUCAGCGGCGGACGUGGUGAGUAACACGUGGGUAACCUGCCUGUAAGACUGGGAUAACUCCGGGAAACCGGGGCUAAUACCGGAUGCUUGAUUGAACCGCAUGGUUCAAUCAUAAAAGGUGGCUUUUAGCUACCACUUACAGAUGGACCCGCGGCGCAUUAGCUAGUUGGUGAGGUAACGGCUCACCAAGGCGACGAUGCGUAGCCGACCUGAGAGGGUGAUCGGCCACACUGGGACUGAGACACGGCCCAGACUCCUACGGGAGGCAGCAGUAGGGAAUCUUCCGCAAUGGACGAAAGUCUGACGGAGCAACGCCGCGUGAGUGAUGAAGGUUUUCGGAUCGUAAAACUCUGUUGUUAGGGAAGAACAAGUACCGUUCGAAUAGGGCGGCACCUUGACGGUACCUAACCAGAAAGCCACGGCUAACUACGUGCCAGCAGCCGCGGUAAUACGUAGGUGGCAAGCGUUGUCCGGAAUUAUUGGGCGUAAAGCGCGCGCAGGCGGUUUCUUAAGUCUGAUGUGAAAGCCCCCGGCUCAACCGGGGAGGGUCAUUGGAAACUGGGGAACUUGAGUGCAGAAGAGGAGAGUGGAAUUCCACGUGUAGCGGUGAAAUGCGUAGAGAUGUGGAGGAACACCAGUGGCGAAGGCGACUCUCUGGUCUGUAACUGACGCUGAGGCGCGAAAGCGUGGGGAGCGAACAGGAUUAGAUACCCUGGUAGUCCACGCCGUAAACGAUGAGUGCUAAGUGUUAGAGGGUUUCCGCCCUUUAGUGCUGCAGCAAACGCAUUAAGCACUCCGCCUGGGGAGUACGGUCGCAAGACUGAAACUCAAAGGAAUUGACGGGGGCCCGCACAAGCGGUGGAGCAUGUGGUUUAAUUCGAAGCAACGCGAAGAACCUUACCAGGUCUUGACAUCCUCUGACAACCCUAGAGAUAGGGCUUCCCCUUCGGGGGCAGAGUGACAGGUGGUGCAUGGUUGUCGUCAGCUCGUGUCGUGAAAUGUUGGGUUAAGUCCCGCAACGAGCGCAACCCUUGAUCUUAUUUGCCAGCAUUCAGUUGGGCACUCUAAGGUGACUGCCGGUGACAAACCGGAGGAAGGUGGGGAUGACGUCAAAUCAUCAUGCCCCUUAUGACCUGGGCUACACACGUGCUAC